GAUGAACGCUGGCGGCGUGCCUAAUACAUGCGAGUCGAGCGAACAGACGAGAAGCUUGCUCCUCUGACGUUAGCGGCGGACGGGUGAGUAACACGUGGAUAACCUACCUAUAAGACUGGGAUAACUUCGGGAAACCGGAGCUAAUACCGGAUAAUAUAUUGAACCGCAUGGUUCAAUAGUGAAAGACGGUUUUGCUGUCACUUAUAGAUGGAUCCGCGCCGCAUUAGCUAGUUGGUAAGGUAACGGCUUACCAAGGCAACGAUGCAUAGCCGACCUGAGCGGGUGAUCGGGCACACUGGAACUGAGACACGGUCCAGACUCCUACGGGAGGCAGCAGUAGGGAAUCUUGCGCAAUGGGCGAAAGCUUGACGGAGCAACGCCGCGGGAGUGAUGAAGGUCUUCGGAUCGUAAAACUCUGUUAUUAGGGAAGAAAAAAUGUGUAAGUAACUAGGCACGUCUUGACGGUACCUAAUCAGAAAGCCACGGCUAACUACGUG
rnacentral:rRNA from 1 species